AGCAUGUUAUAUAAAGGCAGAUCGCGGAUACAGCGUUCCAUCACAGCAUUCUAUCACAGUGUUCCAUCACAGCAUUGCAACACAGUGUUUGAUCUCUCUUCAUGACAGACUUCUGGCUACUCAACAGACGUAGUAGCCAUGGAUGGCCAGAGAGGGCGGUGGAGAGCUGUCUCGCUGUUUGUCUUCAUGUGCUCAGCACUACAGACCAGUCAAUUUGAGCUGACAGAUGAGGACUGGGAGGAGCUGUCUGACAAUGUGGGCUCCAUCUACCAGCUAAGAGGCCUGCAGGACGACUUUACCUAUGACACCACAUCUGAGGACAGCAAUCCUGUGGUUCAAGCUCAGCUGCAAGUUCGAUCUGGAAGUCAAAGCUCAAGGAGUAGCCUGGGGAGGUCCAUGUCAUUCCUGCCAGAUUACGAUUACCCAGAUUACAAUAAACAGCCAAAAAAACCG